GCCGGGAUAGCUCAGUGGUAGAGCAACGCAUUCGUAACGCGUAGGUCGUGGGUUCAACUCCCAUUCUCGGCUCCA
rnacentral:tRNA from 1 species